AGAAAGCAUUUCCAUUUUGCCUGGCUCUGGGAACAAAGCCAAUGUCUGCUUUAGAGGAACAGAGAUUUCCACACAGCGAAUGAGAAAAAGGACACAGACCCAGGAUUCAGAAAGGAAAUGAGGACAGAGACUAACACUGUCUAAAUACAUAAAGGCAGAAGACAUUUUCUCAGCAACCCGGGGAUAGAUCCUUUUCCGUUCCACUGAAGCUUGCAGAGAAAAGCGGGCUGUGAGAAGCAAG